rnacentral:rRNA from 1 species
UACGUAGGGUGCAAGCGUUGUCCGGAAUUAUUGGGCGUAAAGAGCGUGUAGGCGGCCCGACCAGUCCGCUGUGAAAGUCCAGGGCUCAACCCUGGAAUGCCGGUGGAUACUGUCGGGCUAGAGUCCGGAAGGGGCGAGUGGAAUUCCUGGUGUAGCGGUGAAAUGCGCAGAUAUCAGGAGGAACACCGAUGGCGAAGGCAGGUCUCUGGGCUGUAACUGGCGCUGAGGAGCGAAAGCAUGGGGAGCGAACAGG